rnacentral:lncRNA from 1 species
UAGUGAGGUUCUUGCUUAAUUGCUGUGGCUAGCCUAGAACUUGCACUCCUCCUGUCUCAGCCUCCCAUAUCACUGGGAUUAAAAGCAUGUGCCACCACAUCUGGCCAGAUAAAAUUAAAAAAAAAAAAAACUUUUUAAAUUUUUUAAUCUGUGGUUUGUUAGAUUCACACGCGCGGAACCAGUGGUUAAGGACAGCUGAUUUCCCAGAGCUGGGGUUUCCAGUCUGGUUCUGUUUACUCCAAAGCCUGCCUCCUUAAACAUGACCUUCUCAGCUUAGUUCAGUCCAAUUUGUCUUGACUACUGCUCAUUAGGCCUGAUGGUGGUUUUCUUGAACACCAGACCAUUGCAACCCUAACUCAGCAUUGUUUCUUAACAUGUUCCAUUCUGUACACCUGUAUUAAUUUCCUAUAACAAAUGUCCAUGAACUAGGUGACUUUAAAAAACAGAAAUUUAUCUCCUCCCAAUUCUGGAGGUCACAAGUCCAAAAUCAGUAGGGCCAUGAUUCCUCCAGAAUUGCAAGGGGAGGAUUUUUCCUUGCCUCUUCUAACUUCCUAUGGCUCCUAGUGUCUUUAAAUUGUGGCAAUCUCUGUCUCUUGUCUUCAUAUGAUCUUUAAAAAAAAAUUUUUUUAGUUGUUGAUAGACCUUUAUUUUGUUUGUUUAUAUGCAGUGCUGAGAAUCAAACUCAGUGCCUCACACAUACCAGGCAAGUGCGCUACUGCUGAGCCUCAGCCCCAGCCCCAUUCAUGUAGCCUUUUUAUCCCUUGUCUCUUGGUGUCUAAUCUAGCAUGAUUUGGUGUUAAUUUAAUUAGCUACACCAAUGAAGUCCCUAAAUAAGGUCACAUUCACAGGCUCCAUGUAAAUGUGAAGUUUUGGGGAACACUAUAAAAUGUUCAACCCAGUGCAACCACCAGGGACAAAGUCCACCUGUGUUAAUGACAAUCAUUAGCUUGUCUUCUCUGGAGCUGAGCUCUGUGCUUGCCUCUGUGUCCCCAGUGCUCAGGGAGAAGAUGUUGACCUGGUCAACAUCUGUAGAACUGAAUUGUCUCUGAAAAGCUCCAACAUGCAUUUUGGAAAACCAAAAUUUUAUUUUCACUCACAUUAUGGCAAAGAAAUGCCAUUAUUGUGUUUUUUCUGGUGCCAGAGACGGAGCCCAUGGCCUUGUACAUGCUAGACAAGUGCGCUACCACUGAGCUGCAUCCCCUGCAAAUGACACAAAAUUUUUAAGUGAUUUCUUAUGUUCACUAUUGUGGCACGUCUCUCUUAUUCAUUGGUGGCUUUCCCCCCUUAUUUAGCAAAGAAAAUGACCAAGUACGUGACAGAAAGUGGCACUCAGUAAAUUUUUAUUGAGUGAAUACAACUAGAUUUUAGGAGUCAUUCAAUCAAGUGCACUUCCACACAGAAGCAGAGGUUGUGGGGGGAGAGAGACAGGAAAGAGGACCCUGGAUAUCCCUGAAAGUUGUCCUCUGUGCUUAGGGGAAGAAACAGAACCAGACAAGGGGACAAGUCUUGCCCAAAGAGACCAGCACAGUGCCCAAUGCAAGAACCCCAGGUUUUUGGUCAUGCCCUUCUGCCCGCUCCCCAACAAUGCCGCUCACCUAUCCCGGUGGGUUGGCAUUUUGGUUAUGUGGGUAAGGACAAAUGAAGGUCACAGUAUCCCAUUUUUUCUCCCCCAAGACAAGUUCUGUAUGUUAAAGGCCACAGGAAGGUGGGGGCUGUGGCUCAAGUGGUAGAGUGCUCGCCUGGCAUGUGUGAGGCACUGGGUUCGAUUCUCAGUGCUGCAUAAAAAUAAAAUAAAGAUAUUGUGUCCACCUAAAACUAAAAAAUAAAUAUUAAAAAAAAAAGGCCACAGGAUGCUCUGAUCACUAGAUGUAUGGGGGUGGUUUUGUUUUUUUUUUUUUAAGGUAACUGUGCUUACUCUUGUGACACAAUUUC